rnacentral:rRNA from 1 species
UACGUAGGGCGCAGCGUUGUCCGGAAUUAUUGGGCGUAAAGAGCUCGUAGGCGGUUUGUCGCGUCUGCUGUGAAAGCCCGGGGCUCAACCCCGGGUCUGCAGUGGGUACGGGCAGACUAGAGUGCAGUAGGGGAGACUGGAAUUCCUGGUGUAGGCGGUGAAAUGCGCAGAUAUCAGGAGGACACCGCA